CUACGGGAUGCACCAGUGAGGAAUUUUGCGCAAUGGGGGAAACCCUGACGCAGCAACGCCGCGUGAGCGAAGAAGGCCCUCGGGUCGUAAAGCUCUGUCAAGUGGGAAAAAAAUCUUUUGAUCAAUAGUCAAAAGACUUGAUGGUACCACUGGAGGAAGCACCGGCGAACUCCGUGCCAGCAGCCGCGGUAAUACGGAGGGUGCAAGCGUUGUUCGGAUUUACUGGGCGUAAAGAGCGUGUAGGCGGUUUAGCAAGUCAGAUGUGAAAGCCCUGGGCUCAACCCGGGAAGUGCAUUUGAAACUGCUUCACUAGAGUAUGGGAGAGGAGAGUGGAAUUCCUGGUGUAGAGGUGAAAUUCGUAGAUAUCAGGAGGAACACCCGUGGCGAAGGCGAUUCUCUGGACCAAUACUGACGCUGAGACGCGAAAGCGUGGGGAGCAAACAGGAUUAGAUACCCCCGUAGUC
rnacentral:rRNA from 1 species